rnacentral:rRNA from 1 species
CGUGGGUGUAGGAGGUUUGAGAGGCUUUGUCCCUAGUACGAGAGGACCGGGAUGAACGUACCUCUGGUGGAGCUGUUGUCGCGCCAGCGGCAGUGCAGCAUAGCUAUGUACGGACGGGAUAACCGCUGAAGGCAUCUAAGCGGGAAACCCCCCUUAAAACGAGACCUCCCUUGAGGGCCGUGGAAGACGACCACGUCGAUAGGCCGGGGGUGCAAGCGCAGCGACGCGUUGAGCCGACCGGUACUAAUCGCCCGAUUGGCUUGAUCG